UCUAAUAUGGCAGAUAAGUGCAAUGGACUUAAACCCCAUAUUAUAAAGAACUCUCUUUUAUUAGAA
rnacentral:tRNA from 2 species